AACACACCUGGUUUAAAUUACAUCCAUCUUUCUAUCGUGGUCUAAUGUACAACUUACACAGGAAGUGUUAGGGGCAGUGGUUCCUAAACUUUUGUUGUGUCAGGGACCCUCGACUGUAGACCCCCAAUUCAAUUCAAUUCAAUUCAAUUCAAUUUUAUUUGUAUAGCACUAAUUCAUAACAUCCAGCUCGCUGCAGAGGUCGCUUAUACUGAACAUACAGCAUCCAGCUCUCUGCAGAGGUCGCUUAUACUGAACAUACAGCCUCCAGCUCGCUGCAGAGGUCGCUUAUACUGAACAUACAGCAUCCAGCUCGCUGCAGGGGUCGCUUAUACUGAACAUACAGCCUCCAGCUCGCUGCAGAGGUCGCUUAUACUGAACAUACAGCCUCCAGCUCGCUGCAGAGGUCGCUUAUACUGAACAUACAGCCUCCAGCUCGCUGCAGAGGUCGCUUAUACUGAACAUACAGCAUCCAGCUCGCUGCAGAGGUCGCUUAUACUGAACAUACAGCCUCCAGCUCGCUGCAGAGGUCGCUUAUACUGAACAUACAGCAUCCAGCUCGCUGCAGAGGUCGCUUAUACUGAACAUACAGCAUCCAGCUCGCUGCAGAGGUCGCUUAUACUGAACAUACAGCCUCCAGCUCGCUGCAGAGGUCGCUUAUACUGAACAUACAGCCUCCAGCUCGCUGCAGAGGUCGCUUAUACUGAACAUACAGCCUCCAGCUCGCUGCAGAGGUCGCUUAUACUGAACAUACAGCAUCCAGCUCGCUGCAGAGGUCACUUAUCCUCUCCCAUCAGUGUGUGCAGCUAGCUAACAGCUCUGCUAGCACCAUGGACAGCGACAGUACAGACUCAAUAACUGAGCGGCAGCACUGGAAGCUAAUAGGAAGCUAAUAGGAAGCUAAUAAGAAGCUAAUAAGAA